AUUGAACGCUGGCGGCAGGCCUAACACAUGCAAGUCGAGCGGAUGAAGGGAGCUUGCUCCUGGAUUCAGCGGCGGACGGGUGAGUAAUGCCUAGGAAUCUGCCUGGUAGUGGGGGAUAACGUCCGGAAACGGGCGCUAAUACCGCAUACGUCCUGAGGGAGAAAGUGGGGGAUCUUCGGACCUCACGCUAUCAGAUGAGCCUAGGUCGGAUUAGCUAGUUGGUGGGGUAAAGGCCUACCAAGGCGACGAUCCGUAACUGGUCUGAGAGGAUGAUCAGUCACACUGUAACUGAGACACGGUCCAGACUCCUACGGUAGGCAGCAGUCGGGAAUAUUGGACGAUGGGCGAAAGCCUGAUCCAGCCAUGCCGCGUGUGUGAAGAAGGUCUUCGGAUUGUAAAGCACUUUAAGUUGGGAGGAAGGGCAGUAAGUUAAUACCUUGCUGUUUUGACGGUACCAACAGAAUAAGCACCGGCUAACUUCGUG
rnacentral:rRNA from 1 species